rnacentral:piRNA from 1 species
UAAAAGCAUUAGAACUCAGGGGAAA